rnacentral:tRNA from 1 species
GCGGGAUUCGUCUAAUGGUAAGACACAAGCUUCCCAAGCUUGGAACACGGGUUCGAUUCCCGUAUCCCGCUCCA